AUCAUACUCUUAUCAUCUCAAAUAUGAACUACUAAUAAGCACUUUGAUGUCCCCAGUUGCUUCCCUGAUUCUUUUUGCAGACUCUUCCGCAGAUUGUCUGCACCAGUGCACUUCAAUCAAUUCCAGUGUGCCUAUGUCUGCAAAAUCAUACGGGAUUUCCUUGAGGUCUUUGCAAUUUUGCAAGACAAGCCGUUCAAGUUUGGGAAGGUGAUCACAAGUAGCAUUCCAUUGAGAAACGUUCAGAUUGUCUAACUUCAAGAAUUUGAGUUCCUUGAACUGAUCUUCCUCCAUGUCCCAUGUCAGCCCCUCAAAGGCAUCAAGAAGUAAUUUGAGAACUUCCAGGUUGGGUAGUCUCCCAAUUGUUGAGAUAUGACUCCAUGGUAGACGAAACUUUGAAAGAGUCAAUUUCCUCAGAUUGGAAGGGAGAAUGAAUUCCCUGGUAAUAGCGCUUCCAUAGUAAGAUACAUUGAGUGACACCAAAUGAGUUAGAAAAUCUAAUCCUGGAAACUGAUAGGAAUUCUUCGAAGAACCCUGUGGAUGAAAGAAUAUGCAUCUCAGUUUCUGGAGAUUUGGCAACCUCUUUAUUAUUGAUUCUGUAUCUUCACCACAAGAGAGAGAGAGACAGGAAAGGCUGACCAAAUCACCCAACUUACAGCAGACUUCAAGCCCUUCAUCAUCCAAUGUGAAAGCAACAUGCAUAUUCACAUGAAGAUGCCUCAACCUUGUCAUGUGCCAAAUAGUAUCUGGUAAGACAACCUGACCACGUAAUCCCUUCAAAACAAAAGUUUCUAGUUUUCGGAGAUUGCCUAUGGAUUGUGGAAUAGUUUGCAUAUAACCAGUGAUUGCCAAAUACCUCAAAUGAACCAGGCAUGUAAUGUCAGCAGGGAAGGUGACACCCAGGUUGAUGCAUUCAAAAUCUAACACCCGCAGAAGUUUGAAGUUGUGCCAAAUGAAUGAGAUGUCAUAAGGACAUCUGGGCUCUGAAUCAGCUGAAGGAAAGAAUAUCAAAGAACGAGUACCCAGGCCAAAAGGUCUUGAUUUAAAAAAAUGGAGUCGCUUCAAAAAAAAGCACAAUCGGUAGGCUUCAUAUGUGACAGGAUCAGAAUGAUGGCCAAUUUCAAAACCAAAAUCUGAACUAGGAAAAGAUACAUAUGGCUCAUCAAACCUGGUUACUAGCCGGAAGAAGUUCUCUGCUCUGGCUUUUAACUGACAAAAAUCACGCAACAGAUCAUGCAAGCGACAUGAUUUGACCAUUCCGUUGGAUCUUCUUUUGGAGACUUCCACCAGGCUUCUGCUAAUCAACUCCAUCAAGUAACCCUCGGCAAUACCUUCUAAGCUCUUCAACUCAGAGUCAUGAAUGAAACCUUCAGCAAGCCAAAACCGUAUCAACUUGCUAACAGGAAUAUCCUUGUCUUCAAGGAAAACUCCCAAAUAAAGAAAGCACGGUUUUAGAUAUCCCGGCAAGUGUUUGUAACUCAAUUCAAAGAUUUCCAUGCACCGAGCUUUUGGAUCUUCUAUAACUUCAGCAAUCAAGCCUUUUGCAAUUUUCCCCCAUGAUGCUCUGCUCUUUUCUAUCUUUUGGAGGAGACCAGAUAUUGCAACAACAGCAAGAGGCAAUCCUUUACACUUUUUGGCAAUUUCCUUUCCAACAAGCAACAAUUCUUCGGGACAACCUUCACCAUGGAAUACUUUCUCUACUAAUAAGUUCCAGCUUUCAUCAUCAGAAAAUAAGCGUAGAGAAUGAGGAUCACUAUCUGGUUCAAUUUGCAAGGCCACAUCACGAAGGCGGCUGGUAAUCAAAAUUCUGCUUCCAUUGGCAUCAUCUGGGAAUGCAUUUCUUAACUCAUUCCAAACUCCAGCAUCCCACACGUCAUCCAUAACAAUGAGAAACCUGUUUCUCAGUAAGCACUGACGCAAUUUUAAUUGGAGAUCUUCGUUAGUCAUUUGACGAAUUUCAUCCGUAAGCCCGAGAAUGCCACGUAAAAUCUCCAGCAGCAGGUCUCUUUUGUCAUAUCCUUGUGAAACAGUACACCAUGCACGACAAUGAAAGUGAGACAAAACCUUUUGGCAGUUAAACAGUUUCCAAGCCAUUGUUGUCUUGCCAAUACCGGGCAUUCCCACAAGAGAAACAAUACCAAACUUUGAGGAUCCCUUGACAAGUUGAUCAGUUAUAGAUUGUUCUUCAUCUCUGGGAUCCACCACCAUUCCAUUGAUUGCUGGUGUAGCAUCCCGUGAUAUCACGUUGGGUGGAACCUGGAUGACGUGUUUGUUAUCUAGGACUUUGGCUUGAGGGGUCGUCAACUGAAUUCUAGAGGCUCGCUUAUUAACAAUUCUUAACUCCUCUAGUAGAUCAUAAACCAAAAAGAAACCUUGCCAUUGAGGAUCGACCUCAAUUGAGUCAAUGACAAACUCAAUUUUGUAAGCAAUAUUGGCAACAUGACCACCAAGAACUUUCACUUCUGGAUUGUUAUCAAUAUCCGACUCUGAGACUUUCAUGAGAAAAGAACCCAAAGACUUGAAAUGUAGAUGAAUUUCUUUUAUGUAAUUCCUGACUGGUUCAAUUGACGCAGGAUCAUAGUUCAGCAGUUCCUCCAGGCUUCCGAUGAGAAAUUCAACGAACCCUGGCUUGUCAGUCUUUGGAAAAUCAGACAAUGGAAAUGGGGGACUAACCACUCUGAGCGUAGACUUGAUAGGAUUCAGCUUAUCUUGCAGUCUAGAAGAUGAGAUGAUCAUAUUGUGGAUGGGUCCUGCCAUCCCUGCAUCAGAAGUUUCAGUUUGUGGGAAGAUCGUGUCCAUGUCCUUUGUCUCCUCCUUUAGCUGGUUGCAGAGAAGUGUGAAAAGAUUAAGGAGCACAAGAAGUGCAAUUUGAUCUUUUCGAUAAGCCUCGGAAUUUGCAGCACUACUCCUCUCCAGUUGUAACUUCUCAAAUAAUGCUUCUGCUUUGAAAACAACAAUGUUAAGAAGCAAUAGGAGAAUUGAGUUUCUCACCGUGGAUUCUGUGAUCUUCUUGGCCUCAAACAACUGAUGGAGAGAUGCUACCUUGUAGUCCACUUGUUUAAUGAGAGCCAAUGCCUUAUUCCCAUAUUCUGCCUCCCAAUGCGUAAGAUUUUCCAGAAAACGUAUCAAUUUUUUAGGCAUCCAUUGGACAUCACCUUUAACAUGAUUGAGCAGAUCUUUAGUUCGGAAAGUGCUCCCUUGAUUGUUACAGAAAAGCAUUCCCUUGAGGAAAAGCUCCGUCUGAAGAAGAAAAACAUUUAUACGUAGCUCAGAAUGGCCAUGGAUAUGUUGCUCGCCCUUUCGUUCCGUCUGUAAGAGGAAUUCCAGCUCUAUGAGCACCGUAUGAAUUUCUGCAAGGAAAAUUUGUAUAGUCUGAUCCUCUUCCUCCCCCUCCUCCUGUUGCUUCAGUUUGGUGAAGGCUAAAAGCUUUAACAGCCCAUAGAUCUCUCGAGAACAGAUCUCUCGAGUAUCUCUGAUCCUCACUUCAGUGGCAACAUAAUUGCUAUAAUGAGAGGAAAAAUCGGGCUUAACUCCUCCAAUUUUAUGGAGAGCCACAAGGAAAUGAAAAUGGAACUCCAUGAAUUUGGGAUUAGUAGGAUGAAUCUCAUGUUGCAAAUCCACUACAGAUUUAGUUAGCUUAAUCAUUUCUACCGUUUUGGUUUUGCCUUCGGUUUUCCCGCAGUGAAUCCGGUACUUAAGACUGUGGAUUGCAAUGCGCACCAUCACAGAUGCAACACGAGUCACGAAAUCAUUGAUAGCAUUUACAUCAUCACCACCUGCAGCAGCUGCUGCUGGGAAGUCGAGAUUCCUGGAUACACCUUCCAUGUAUUCCCCGAACAAUCUUAGCUCUUUGCGCCAGGCACCGAUUGGCUCGCUCCAUUUUGUAUCGUCCACAAUAUCGGCCAGAGUGGUUACAAAUUGUAGCCAAAAAGAAACAUCAGAUGGUGAUUGCAGUCGACACGACGACCACCCGGAUAAAUCCAAAAGGUGUUCAACAUCUUCUCCAAUCUCUUCCAUCCAUUUGAUGGAUUUACUGUAAUAAUCAUAGAGAGUUUUGCCAUUUACCGGGGAAAGCUUCAUCUGGGCGUUGUUCUUGUUUAUAAUUACAACAUGCCAACCAAUCUCCUCGGCUGCAGCUUCAAUCUUGACUCCCAUAUUAAGCAGCACGCGCUCUGCAUCUUCGUCUCUCAUCAGCUUGUGAAUUGCUUCCGAAAUUAACCUCAAAAGCUUCCAAUCUCCCAAGAUGCGAUCGCGUUGACGCCAGCGUACGCGGUGACUUUUGUUUCCACGCGCAACUGCAUCGAUAAAUUUGCUACUUCCCCGUACAGCAUCCAAGAAAAAAACUAUGAUAUCAAAGCUGGAAAUAGCCAUCUCCAGGUCCAGAAUUUUGAUCUCUUACUCAAGCAUACCAGUUCUGUCUGUCAGACUGAUCUGCAUAAACACAAAUGCUUUUGAUGUAUGUAUUAGGUGAAUAGGUGAUAUCGAGUGGAGGUGAUAUCGAGUGGAGUCGAGUGGAGUGCUCAAUUAUUGAAACAAAUAAACCUAAAAUAGUAAUUAAUUAUUGUAACAAAUAAACUUGAAAUUAUAAUUUGGAUAAUAUUAUUAUAAUAAAUUAAUAUUUAAUAUAAAACUUGAGUGGAGUGCUUGAUUGAUAAAGUUCGAACUCGAGUUGUUAGAGUUCAAAAAUUUUUGGAAAUAAUAGUAUAAUAAUUAAAUAUUUAAUUAUUAUAACAAAUAAAUUUAAAAUUAUAAAUUGAAUAAUAAUAAUAAUAUUUAAUUGAAUACUCGACAGAACUCGUCGAGCUCUUAAGUUUUUUUAAUAGCACCCGAACUUGACUCGAAAAUUCAAUUAAGUAACUUGAACUCGAUCAAUAUCGAGUUCAAUAAAGUAAUUAAACUGAACUGCUAGCGAAUUCGAGUCAAGCUGCUCAAUUAAAUCUCACCCUUAUCCCCAAUGGACCAGGGCCUCACAAUUUGAGGCAAUAUCCACUUCGGACACAUCCGGUCAAGAUCAAAUUGUGAUAAUGAGACAGCCACGAUUUAGUGGGUCGACAGCGCAGUAUCAAUUCGCAUGGGGAAAGAAAAAUCAAAAUUGAGGACUAAUGAAAAGACUAGAACUCAUUGUCCUCUCAUCAGAGAUAGAGGAGAAGAAUCAACGAUGAAGACUACUCAUUUCUGAGAAAUUUCUAACGAAAUCCAACAUAGGGAGAUAAAGUCUCAGACUCUUCAACUUUUUGGGAAGUGAAAUUUUGCAGCCCUACAAGUUCGAGAUUUAUUGAGGCUUUGCUUGUUGGUUCAUAAUUUAACAAAAAAAAAAACAAAAAGUUCUCAUAUCAUCAAAGUAUCAAGUAUGUUCUUGGGUUUUCAGAAUAUUCAUGGAUAUUGGAAAUUUUUUUCUUCGUUUAUUGUAAUUACAAGGGGACACAAAAGGCAUUUGGUUUUUUCCAUUCUUGUGAAGAAAUUCUCGAUAUUUAAUGACUGCUAUAAGAAGAAAAUUAGCAAAAAUGCUAACUCUCUAAUUAUCCAAAUCGAAUGGUAGAUUAGGGCUAUUAUAAUUUCUUGAUUGGCAUUGUUUGAGUUGGUCUUGUUAAAGAAGAAUUUAGAAAUCGUCAUGCCAGUGGUAUGUAUAAGAGUACGUAAAAACACCCUAAAGAAACUUGCCCCUUUUGAUUAUUUACACCAGUAGUCACAACUUUAAGUGCUGGCCAAUCUUGUUACUCUACAACCAUUUGUUGGACAAUGGACAUUGGUUAAUAAAUGGGCCUAAUGCAUAUGCAAACAAACUUAUUAAAGAAGACACACUUGCAAGCUAGAGUUGGCUUGAUAUUAUGCAGGCAUGAUCAAGGAUUCUUAAUUAGGUUCGACAAUUUUGCAAUAAAUUGGGUAAAAUAUCAAAAAACCUCUUGUGAUUUGCCGAGUGUUUAACUUAACUCCUUAUCGUUCGGAAACUUACAUUCUAAGCUCUCAUGGUUUUAACUAAAUUGGAAGGUGGAUAGAAACUGACUAAACUAAUGGUUGCAUCUAAAAUGUCAAAAUUGUCCUUUAUAAAUAAUAAGAUUUAAUGCAAAAAACUAUUUAUGAUCUGUCGAAUGUUCAACAUAACUUUUUAUGAUUUGGAAAUCUAUAUUCUAGCCUCUCGUGGGUUUAACUAAAUUGAAUUCAUUAUAUUAGCCUUCUUCUACUUCAUUCAAACAUUCUUGCUACAGCCAUUUCCCUUACUGGAAGAAUGUAGUUACUAAAGGAAUCAUUAAAAUUGUUUAUCGCGAGAAGCAAGGCUGUAGUUUCCGAAGCACAGAGAGUUAAGAAUACAUAUUAAAGAACUUAUUGAAAUUGUUUAUUACAGGGAGUUAGAAUGUAAGUUCUGAAGUUGUUAAAGCACUCAUUGAGAUUGAUUACUACGAAAGGCUAGAAUAUAGGUUUAUGAAGCAUAGAGAGCUAAGAAUAUAGAUACCAUGUUCAUCAACUAAGGCAUUGCCAAAAAAAAAAAAAAAUCAUGCAAGGUGCCCUUCCAUUGAUAUGCAGGUAUGACAAGUAAUUUUAGGUUAAGAAUUUUGUUUGUUUAGCUGUCUAUGUUUCAAUUGUAUUGUUGAGUACUUCUCUCACAUUCGUAAUUUGAGCAUUUGCACUCCUUUUAGGUGUGUAAAUAUCAUUUUUUAGUUGGCUUGAAAAGGUCUGAAUGUUUGUCACUCUCUGUUGUUCAUUAAUAUACAUUGAUAGUUCGUUGAACUCAAACUCAAGUUUAAAUUUGAUAAAAUUAGAUCGAAUCUCAGCUCGAUUCGAUUAAAAUUCAACUCGACUCGGUUGUAACUCUACCUAGGAGAGUUGUCCUUUAGAUUUAGUGACACUUUGUGUUUCUUGCUUUUAGGAAUGGCUAGGACAGCUUUUGGUAUUUCUCCAUGAUGCCCAAUUGGUAGAUUGCUUGUCAUACAUGAGGAAUCCAAUCUGCUGCCAGCAAUGCUCUCCAGAUAGCUCAAUUCAGCAGAACCCAUCUAGGAUUCGUUGUGGUUAAUUUUAGAUUGCACAAAUUUUGUUACCUCUAACAAUACAAGCCGAUAUGCUUCAAAAAAAAGUCUGAUAAGAAGACCUUUUUUUGGUGUAGUGAAACACUAUUUGCCAUGAUCCUCGUACAUGUAAGCUAGCCGCUCAAAUAUGAAUAUUAUGCUGAGUACUUCAAAAUUGGAACACUUGCUUCAGCGAAUUAGGUGCUAACUUUUGAGUCAAUGGCUGUCAACAUUUGAAGAUAGAGGGAUUGAAUGCAGUACUUCAAGAAACAAAGAAAUGAAUCUGCAUGAUUAGAAUUUCUGUUUGCUUUAAGAGGUAAGAAUUACAGUAGGUAUAAUCUAGAGGACCAACAAAACCAACUUAAACAAACUGAAUUCACCUUUCCAAAGAUCUCAAGCAAUAAUUGAUUGUUGAGUAUCCAGAUUGAGCAAAACAUUCCAUUGCAUGGAAGUUGAAUUAAGAAACACAUCAUCUUACAAAUGAAUCGAGAGAAGAAUAAGUUACUGAAAUUUGAUUAUCUUACAAGUUCGGGGAGUAAUACAACAGAAUCCACAAUCAUACUCUUAUCAUCUCAAAUAUGAACUACUAAUAAGCACUUUGAUGUCCCCAGUUGCUUCCCUGAUUCUUUUUGCAGACUCUUCCGCAGAUUGUCUGCACCAGUGCACUUCAAUCAAUUCCAGUGUGCCUAUGUCUGCAAAAUCAUACGGGAUUUCCUUGAGGUCUUUGCAAUUUUGCAAGACAAGCCGUUCAAGUUUGGGAAGGUGAUCACAAGUAGCAUUCCAUUGAGAAACGUUCAGAUUGUCUAACUUCAAGAAUUUGAGUUCCUUGAACUGAUCUUCCUCCAUGUCCCAUGUCAGCCCCUCAAAGGCAUCAAGAAGUAAUUUGAGAACUUCCAGGUUGGGUAGUCUCCCAAUUGUUGAGAUAUGACUCCAUGGUAGACGAAACUUUGAAAGAGUCAAUUUCCUCAGAUUGGAAGGGAGAAUGAAUUCCCUGGUAAUAGCGCUUCCAUAGUAAGAUACAUUGAGUGACACCAAAUGAGUUAGAAAAUCUAAUCCUGGAAACUGAUAGGAAUUCUUCGAAGAACCCUGUGGAUGAAAGAAUAUGCAUCUCAGUUUCUGGAGAUUUGGCAACCUCUUUAUUAUUGAUUCUGUAUCUUCACUACAAGAGAGAGAGAGAGACAGGAAAGGCUGACCAAAUCACCCAACUUACAGCAGACUUCAAGCCCUUCAUCAUCCAAUGUGAAAGCAACAUGCAUAUUCACAUGAAGAUGCCUCAACCUUGUCAUGUGCCAAAUAGUAUCUGGUAAGACAACCUGACCACGUAAUCCCUUCAAAACAAAAGUUUCUAGUUUUCGGAGAUUGCCUAUGGAUUGUGGAAUAGUUUGCAUAUAACCAGUGAUUGCCAAAUACCUCAAAUGAACCAGGCAUGUAAUGUCAGCAGGGAAGGUGACACCCAGGUUGAUGCAUUCAAAAUCUAACACCCGCAGAAGUUUGAAGUUGUGCCAAAUGAAUGAGAUGUCAUAAGGACACCUGGGCUCUGAAUCAGCUGAAGGAAAGAAUAUCAAAGAACGAGUACCCAGGCCAAAAGGUCUUGAUUUAAAAAAAUGGAGUCGCUUCAAAAAAAAGCACAAUCGGUAGGCUUCAUAUGUGACAGGAUCAGAAUGAUGGCCAAUUUCAAAACCAAAAUCUGAACUAGGAAAAGAUACAUAUGGCUCAUCAAACCUGGUUACUAGCCGGAAGAAGUUCUGUGCUCUGGCUUUUAACUGACAAAAAUCACGUAACAGAUCGUGCAAGCGACAUGAUUUGACCAUUCCGUUGGAUCUUCUUUUGGAGACUUCCACCAGGCUUCUGCUAAUCAACUCCAUCAAGUAACCCUCGGCAAUACCUUCUAAGCUCUUCAACUCAGAGUCAUGAAUGAAACCUUCAGCAAGCCAAAACCGUAUCAACUUGCUAACAGGAAUAUCCUUGUCUUCAAGGAAAACCCCCAAGUAAAGAAAGCACGGUUUUAGAUAUCCCGGCAAGUGUUUGUAACUCAAUUCUAAGAUUUCCAUGCACCGAGCAUUUGGAUCUUCCAUAACUUCAGCAAUCAAGCUUUUUGCAAUUUUACCCCACGAUUCUGAGCUCUCUUCUAUCCUCUGGAGGAGACCAGAUAUUGCAACAACAGCAAGAGGCAAUCCUUUACACUUUUUGGCAAUUUCCUUACCAACUAGCGACAAUUCUUCAGGACAGCCUUCACCAUGGAAUACUUUCUCUACUAAUAAGGUCCAGCUUUCAUAAUCAGAAAAUAAGCGUAGAGAAUGAGGAUCACUAUCUGGUUCAAUUUGCAAGGCCACAUCACGAAGGCGGCUCGUAAUCAAAAUUCUGCUGCCAUUGGCAUCAUCUGGGAACGAAUUUCUUAACUCAUUCCAAACUCCAGCAUCCCACACGUCAUCCAUAACAAUGAGAAACCUGUUUCUUAGUAAGCACUGACGCAAUUUUAAUUGGAGAUCUUCGUUAGUCAUUUGACGAAUUUCAUCCGUAAGCCCGAGAAUGCCACGUAAAAUCUCCAGCAGCAGUUCUCUUUUGUCAUAUUCUUGUGAAACAGUACACCAUGCACGACAAUGAAAGUGAGACAAAACCUUUUGGCAGUUAAACAGUUUCCAAGCCAUUGUUGUCUUGCCAAUACCGGGCAUUCCCACAAGAGAAACAAUGCCAAACUUUGAGGAUCCCUUGACAAGUUGAUCAGUUAUAGAUUGUUCUUCAUCUCUGGGAUCCACCACCAUUCCAUUGAUUGCCGGUGUAGCAUCCCGUGAUAUCACGUUGGGUGGAACCUGGAUGACGUGUUUGUUAUCUAGGACUUUGGCUUGAGGGGUCGUCAACUGAAUUCUAGAGGCUCGCUUAUUAACAAUUCUUAACUCCUCCAGUAGAUCAUAAACCAAAAAGAAACCUUGCCAUUGAGGAUCGACCUCAAUUGAGUCAAUGACAAACUCAAUUUUAUAAGCAAUAUUGGCAACAUGACCACCAAGAACUUUCACUUCUGGAUAGUCAUCAAUCUCCGACUCUGAGACUUUCAUGAGAAAAGAACCCAGAGACUUGAAAUGUAGAUGAAUUUCUUUUAUGUAAUUCCUGACUGGUUCAAUUGACACAGGAUCAUCGUUCAGCAGUUCCUCUAGGUUUCUGAUGAGAAAUUCAACAAACCCUGUCUUGUAAGUCUUGGGAAAAUCAAACAAUGGAAACUGGGGACUAAUCUCUCUGAGCUUAGACUUGAUAGGAUUCAGCUUAUCUUGCAGUUUAGAGGAUGAGAUGAUCAUAUUGUGGAUGGGUCCUGCCAUCCCUGCAUCAAAUGUUUCAGUUUGUGGGAAGAUCAUGUCCGUGUCCUCUGUCUCCUCCUUUAGCUGGUUGCUGAGAAGUGUGAAAAGAUUAAGGAGCACAAGAAGUGCAAUUUGAUCUUUUCGAUGACCCUCGGAAUUUGCACUCUCAAGUUGUAACUUCUCAAAUAAUGCUUCUGCUUUGAAAACAACAAUGUUAAGAAGCAAUAGGAAAAUUGAGUUUCUCACCGUGGAUUCUGUUAUGCUCUUGGCCUCAAACAACUGACGGAGAGAUGCUACCGUGUAGUCCGCUUGUUUAAUGAAAGCCAAGGCCUUGUUCCAAUAUUCUGCCUCCCCAUGCAGAAGAUUUCCCAAAAAACGUAUCCAUAUUUCUGGCAUCCCCUUGAGCAGAUCUUUAUUUCGGAAAGUGCUCCCUUGAAUGUUACAGUGAAGCAUCCCCUUGAGGAAAAGCUCCGUCUGGAGGAGACAAACAUUUAUACGUAGCUCACCCUUUCGUUCCGUCUGUUUGAGGAACUCCCUCUCUAUGAGCACCGUAUGAAUUUCUGCAAGGAAAUUUGGUAUAGUUUGAUCCUCCUCCUCCUCCUGCUUCAGUUUGAUGAAGGCUAAAAGCUUUAACAGCCCAUAGAUCUCCCCAGAAGAGAUCUCCUUAGAAUAGAUCUUUGGAAUAUCUCUGAACCUCAUUUUAGAGGCAACAUAAUUGCUAUAAUGAGACAUAAAGUCGGGCUUAACUCCUCCCAUUUUUCGGAGAGCUACAAGAAAAUGGAGAUGGAAGUCCACGAACUUGGGAUUAGUUGGAUGAAUCUCAUGUUGCAGAGCCAAUACAGAUUUAGUUACCUGCUUCAUUUCCUCCCUUCUGGUUGUGCCUGCUGUUUUCCUGUCGUUAAUCCGUUGCCUAAGAGUGUGGAUUGCAAUGCGUACCAUCACAGAUGCAACACGAGUUACGAAAUCAUUGAUAACAUUUACGUCAUCACCACCUGCUGCUGCCGCUGCUGCUGGGAAAUCGAGAUCACUGGAUACACCUUCCAUGUAUUCCCCGAACAACCUUAGCUCUUUGCGCCAGGCACCGAUUGGCUCGCUCCAUUUUGUAUCGUCCACAAUAUCGGCCAGAGUGGACACAAAUUGUAACCAAAAAGAAACAUCAGAUGGAGAUUGCAGUCGACAAGACGACCACCCGGAUGAAUCCAAAAGGUGUUCAACAUCUUCUCCGAUCUCUUCGAUCCAUUCGAUGGUUUUAUAGUAAUAAUCAUAGAAAGUUUUGGCAUUUACCGAGGAAAGAAACUUUAUCUGGGUGUUGUUCUUGUUUGUAAUUACAACAUGCCUACCAAUCUCCUCGGCUGCAGCUUCAAUCUUGAAUCCCAUAUUAAGCAGCAUGCGCUCUGCAUCUUCAUCUCUCAUCAGCUUGUGAAUUGCUUCCCAAAUUAACCUCAAAAGCUUCCAAUCUUCCAAGAUGCGAUAGCGUUGACGCCAGUGACCUCUGUUUCCACGCCAAAUUCCACCGACCAUUCCAUUAUUUCUCCGUACAACAUCCAAGAAAAAAACUAUGAUAUCAAAGCUGGAAAUAGCCAUCUCCAGGUCCAGAAUUUUGAUCUCUUACUCGAGCAUACCAGUUCUGUCUGUCAGACUGAUCUGGUAAACACAAAUGCUUUUGAUGUAUGUAUUAGGUGAAAGUUUCACCGUGAAAUGCUAUCCAUGCUUGGCUGAAAUACUCGAGCUCGAUCGAGCAUUUGAUGUUGAACUUGAGUUCGACUCGAUCGAGUGCUCUGUUGACAGAGUUCGACUUGUUAGAGUUCAAAAAAAUUUGGAAUAUAAUAAUAUAAUAAUUAAAUAUUUAAUUAUCGUAACAAAUAAACCUAAAAUAGUAAUUAAUUAUUUUAACAAAUAAACCUAAAGUUAAAAUUUGGAUAACAAUAAUAUAACAAAUAAAUAUUUAACAUAAAACUUGAGUGGAGUGCUCUAUUCACAAAGCUCGAACUCGAUUUGUUAGAGCUUAAAAAAUUUUGAAAAUAAUAAAAUAAUAAUUAAAUAUUUAAUUAUUGUAACAAAUAAACCUAAAAUUGUAAUUUGGAUAAUAAUAAAAUAAUAAUUAAAUAUUUAAUUGAAUACUCAAUAGAAUUCGUCCAGCCUUCAAGUCUUCGUUAUUAUUAAUAUUCGAAUUUGAUUUGAAAACUUAAUUAGGUAACUUGAACUCGAUUCAAACUCGAUCGAUAUUGAUCGAAUUCAAUGGAGCAAUUAAUCGAGCUGCUAGCGAGCUCGAGUCAAGCUGCUCAAUUAAAUCUUACCCUUAUCCCCAAUGGACGAGGGCCUCACAAUUUGAGGCAAUAUCCAAUUCGGACAAAUCCGGUCAAGAUCAAAUUGUGAUAACGAGACAGCCACGAUUUACUAUUUAGUGGGUCGACAGCGCAGUAUCAAUUCGCAUGGGGAGGGAAAAAUCAAAAUUGAGGGCUAAUGAAAAGACCUCGUUUGUAGAAUUCAUUGUCCUCUCAUUAGACAUAGAGGUGAAGAAUCAAAGAUGAAGACUACUCAUAGCUAAGAAAUUAUCCAACAUAGGGAGAUAAAGUCUCAGAUUCUUCAACUUUUUGGGAAGUGAAAUUUUGCAGUCCUAACAAAUUCGAGAUUUAUUGAGGCUUUGCUUGUUGGUUCAUAAUUUAACUAAAAAAAUUUUUUCUCAUAUCAUCAAAGUAUCAAGUAUGUUCUUGGGUUUUCAGAAAAUUCAUGGAUAUUGGAAAUUUUUUUCUUCGUUUAUUGUAAUUACAAGGGGACACAAAAGGCAUUUGUUUUUUUCCAUACAUGUGAAGAAUUCUCAAUACUUAAUGACUGCUAUAAGAAGAAAAUUAGCAAAAAUCCUAACUCUCUAAUUAUCCAAAUCGAAUGGUAGAACUGUUAUGAGUUCGCCCAGUGAAAACAUUUUGAUCGUGAUGUGAAUUGCUUUUAGAUACAAAACUUUGGAAGAAACUUGUUCGUUGCUUUAUUCGAUUUUGGUUAGCUUAUAAGUAGUUGUUGGGCUUGGGCAUUCACACCACUGGUUAUCAUUUAUGCACGCAACUGCUCUGGCCGCCAACAUUUCACGAUAGAGAAAUAAUCUGCAGUUCUGUAAGAAACACUGAUAUUGAUAUCUGAAACCGGAAUUUCAAUUUGCUAAAUGCAGUUAAAGAGUUUUACUAGAUAUAUUCUCGAGUAUGAAAACCAGCUUAAAGCAAAACGAAAUCAAUUUUCUAAAGAUCUAAAACAAAAAUCUAGCAGAUUACUUUAAAGCCAACCAAAAUCUGCAUGAUUAGAAUUUCAGUUUGCUUCAGUAGGUAUAAUCUAGAGGACCAACAAAACCAACUUAAACAAAUUGAAUUCACCUUUCCAAAGAUCUCAAGCAAUAAUUGAUAGUUGAGUAUCCAGAUUGAGCAAAACAUUCCAUUGCAUGGAAGUUGAAUUAAGAAACACAUCAUCUCACAAAUGAAUCGAGAGAAGACUAAGUUACUGAAAUUUGAUUAUCUUACAAGUUCGGGGAGUAAUACAACAGAAUCCACAAUCAUACUAUGAACUACUAAUAAGAACUUUGAUGUCCCCAGUUGCUUCCCUGAUUCUUUUUGCAGACUCUUCUGCAGAUUGUCUGCACCAGUGCACUUCAAUCACUUCCAGUGUACCUAUGUCUGCAAAAUCAUUCGGGAUUUCCUCGAGGUCUUUGCAAUUUUGCAAGACAAGCCGUUCAAGUUUGGGAAGGUGAUCACAAGUAGCAUUCCAUUGACAGAUGUUCAGAUUGUCUAACUUCAAGAAUUUAAGUUCCUUGAAGUGUUCUUCCUCCAUGUCCCAUAUCAGCCCCUUAAAGGCACCAAGAAGUAAUUUGAGAACUUCCAGGUUGGGCAGUCUCCCAAUUGUUGAGAUGCGGCUCCAUGGUAG
rnacentral:lncRNA from 1 species